rnacentral:rRNA from 1 species
GAUUAACGCUGGCGGCGUGCAUAACACAUGCAAGUCGAACGAUGAAACUUAGUCGACUUCUUCGGAAAGACACUAAGCGGAUUAGUGGCGAACGGGUGAGUAACGCGUGAGUAACCUGCCUUACACAAGGGGAUAGCCUUUGGAAACGAAGAAUAAUACCCUAUAAAACUAUAAAAGCACAUGCUAUAAUGGUCAAAGUGAUAGCGGUGUAAGAUGGACUUGCGUCUGAUUAGCUAGUUGGUGAGAUAAAAGCUCACCAAGGCAACGAUCAGUAGCCGGCUUGGGAGAGUGUACGGCCACAUUGGGACUGAGACACGGCCCAGACUCCUACGGGAGGCAGCAGUGGGGAAUUUUGCACAAUGGGGGAAACCCUGAUGCAGCGACGCCGCGUGAUUUAGAAGGCCUUCGGGUUGUAAAAAUCUUUUGUAUAGGAAGAAAAUGACAGUACUAUACGAAUAAGGUCCGGCUAAUUACGUG